rnacentral:rRNA from 1 species
UACAGAGGGGGCAAGCGUUGUCCGGAAUUACUGGGCGUACAGCGCGCGCAGGCGGUGGCUGACGUGCCGUGUGACAAGCGGGGGCUCAACCCCCGAGGGCCACGGUAAACGGGGUCACUGGAGGACGGGAGAGGGAUGUGGAAUGCCCGGUGGAGCGGUGAAAUGCGUAGAGAUCGGGCGGAACACCAGCGGCGAAGGCGGCAUCCUGGCCGUCGACUGACCGUGCGCUGAGGCGCGAGAGCGUGGGGAGCAAACCGG